rnacentral:rRNA from 1 species
UACGUAGGUGGCGAGCGUUAUCCGGAAUUAUUGGGCGUAAAGAGGGAGCAGGCUGCUGAACAGGUCUGUGGUGAAAGCCCGAAGCUAAACUUCGGUAAGCCAUGGAAACCGGACAGCUAGAGUGCGUCAGAGGAACGUGGAAUUCCAUGUGUAGCGGUGAAAUGCGUAGAUAUAUGGAGGAACACCAGUGGCGAAGGCGACGUUCUGGGGCGCAACUGACGCUCAUUCCCGAAAGCGUGGGGAGCAAAUAG